CAUCCAAGGGCUGCCUGAUCCUAUAACUGUCUGCAUCAUUCCAAAAUGUACUGGUCUGUAGUCCUUACCCUGAUCACAAUCUCCUGGACAUGUUGCAGGUCCCAGCCCAGCCUGUCUCAGCCUCCCACAGAGUCUGUGUCUCUGGGACAAACAACCAAACUGCCGUGCACUAUGAGUGGGGGCAGCAUCAGCAGCUACUGGGUGUACUGGCACCAGCAGCGACCUGGAACUGCUCCACGAUACCUUCUGAGAUACUAUUCUGAUUCUAGCAAGCACCAAGGCACUGGGGUCCCAGCUCGGUUCUCUGGGUCCAAAGACAAUUCUCAGAACAUCUGUUACUUAACCAUCUCUAGUGUCCAGGCAGAGGAGGAUGCAGAUUAUUACUGUGCUAUAUGGGAUAGCAGUAACAGAGUACACAGUGAUACAGUUAUAGAAGAAACUGAAACAAUAACUUUCUGCAUUACCAGAACUGUGUGUACAGCUGCACUAAGUAUAAAUACUACUGCUCACAGUAAGAUGUGGCCAUUAAACAUAUUUUAA